GAAAGCUCAGGGCUAACUCCCCUGGGUCUUGACCUAACCCACAGAAAAAGCACCGGCUAACUCUGUGCCAGCAGCCGCGGUAAUACAGAGGGUGCAAGCGUUAAUCGGAAUUACUGGGCGUAAAGCGUGCGUAGACGGUCAUGUAAGUCGGGUGUGAAAGCCCCGGGCUCAACCUGGGAAUUGCAUUCGAGACUGCAUGGCUAGGGUGCGGAUGAGGGAAGCGGAAUUUCCGGUGUAGCGGUGAAAUGCGUAGAUUUCGGAAGGAACACCAGUGGCGAAAGCGGCUUUCCUGGUCCAGCACCGACUUUCAGGCACGAAAGCGUGGGGAGCAAACAGGAUUAGAUACCCUGGUAGUCCACGCCAUAAACGAUGAGAACUAGACUUUGAAAGGGUAAGCCCUGCAUGUCGUACUUACGCGCUUAAGUUCUCCGCCUGGGGAGUACGGCCAAG
rnacentral:rRNA from 1 species